rnacentral:rRNA from 1 species
AAAUUGGAAGAGUUUGAUCAUGGCUCAGAUUGAACGCUGGCGGCAGGCCUAACAUACGUAAAGUCGAACGGUAACGGGAAGAAGCUUGCUUUGCUGACGAGUGGCGGACGGGUGAGUAAUGUCUGGGAAACUGCCUGAUGGAGGGAUAACUGGAAACGGUAGCUAAUACCGCAUAACGUCGCAAAGACCAAAGAGGGGAACCGGGCCUCUUGCCAUCGGAUGUGCCCAGAUGGGAUUAGCUAGUAGGUGGGGCAACGGCUCACCUAGGCGACGAUCCCUAGCUGGUCUGAGAGGAUGACCAGCCACACUGGAACUGAGACACGGUCCAGACUCCUACGGGAGGCAGCAGUGGGGAAUAUUGCACAAAUGGGCGCAAAGCCUGAUGCAGCCAUGCCGCGUGUAUGGGGCUAGAAGGCCUUCGGGUUGUAAAGUACUUUCAGCGGGGAGGGAAGGGGAGUAAAGUUAAUACCUUUGCUCAUUGACGUUACCGCAGAAGAAGCUUAACUCUGGCCAACUCGUGCCAGCAGCCGCGGUAAUACGGGAGGUGCAAGCGUUAAUCGGAAUUACACUGGGCAAAGCGCACGCAGGCGGUUUGUUAAGUCAGAUGUGAAAUCCCCGGGCUCAACCCGGAACUGAUACCGGCGUUUGAGUCCGGGUAGAGGGGGGUAGAAUUCCGGUGUAGCGGUGAAAUGCGUAGAGAUCUGGAGGAAUACCGGUGGCGAAGGCGGCCCCCUGGACGAAGACUGACGCUCAGGUGCGAAAGCGUGGGGGAGCAAACAGGAUUAGAUACCCGGUAGUCCACGCCGUAAACGAUGUCGACUUGGAGGUUGUGCCUUGAGGGCGCUCUGGAGCUAACGCGUUAAGUCGACCACUGCCCGGGGAGUACGGCCGCAAGGUUAAAACUCAAAUGAAUUGACGGGGGCCCGCACAAGCGGUGGAGCAUGUGGUUUAAUUCGAUGCAACGCGAAGAACCUUACCUGGUCUUGACAUCCACGGAAGUUUUCGAAGUGAGAUGAGAAUGUGCCUUCGGGGAACCGUGAGACAGGGUGCUGCAUGGCUGUCGCGUCAGCUCGUGUUGUGAAAUGUUGGGUUAAGUCCCGCAACGAGAGCGCAACCCUUAUCCUUUGUUGCCAGCGGUCCGGCCGGGAACUCAAAGGAGACGCUGCCAGUGAUAAAACUGGAGGAAGGUGGGGAUGACGUCAAGUCAUCAUGGCCCCUACGACCGGAGCUGCCAACACGUGCUGCCAAUGGCACAAAGAGAAGCACCGCGAGUAUGCAAGCGGACCUCAAAAGUGCGUCGUAGUCCGGAUUGGAGUCUGCAACUCGACCUACGAAGUCGGAAUCGCUAAUCGUGGAUCAGAAUGCCACGGUGAAUACGUUCCGGGCCUUGUACACACCGCCCGUCACACUACAUGGGAGUGGGUUGCAAAAGAAGUGAGCUUAACCUUCGGGAGGGCGCGCUACCACUUUGUGAUUCGCGACUGGGGGUGAAGUCGUAACAAGGUAACCGUAGGGAACCUGCUGAUCACCUCACCUUAAAGCAG